UUCUUUUCCCUCUUCCCAAAUAGAACAUCUUCAUAAAUUGGAUUUGAUGAUAAUAGGAGGCAUAUGCCACCCGAUAAUUUAUUGCAAGAUAAAAGUUGAACUUACAGUGUUCAUGCUGUGCGCCAUUAGAGGAUGUGGUCCCAACAAUGCAUACACGUCAGCUUAGGAAUUACAUGUAGAAUAAGAUAGUUUACAUUGCUCAUGCAACAUUUACGAGAAAGUGCUUGCUUAAGUUACAAGCAUUUGCAUAGGCUCAUCUCCUCUUUCUUUUUUUAUGGUUGUGGAAAAAUAUAUUUUUCAAGCUUCACCUUGCACUUAGAACCCCUAGCAUUUUGUCUACAGUGCUUUGUAUUUCUUUUAGUGCCAUGAAGAACCGUGGCUUGUUUGUUUCGGAGGUUAUUGAUAUCUAACUUUCAAAUAAAAACAAAGCUUCCUUAAGCACCAAUAUGGGAGCAUUUGCUUGGAAUUGGAAGACUUUUUUGUUUCUUUCUUUCCAUAUGCUCCAGAUAAUUGUUGCAAUUAAAGAAUUAUGUACUGAUCUUAAGCUUUGCUCUUUGUCUUUUCUCCUUUUUAUAGUCCACCACUUAUCUAGGAAAGUUAGGAUGUAGGAAUUUCUCAUUUUCACAUAAGCUUUGCUCUUUGCCUUUUCUCCUUUUUAUAGUCCACCACUUAUCUAGGAAAGUUAGGAUGUAGGAAUUUCUCAUUUUCACAUAAAUUGGAUUUGUAAAUUCACCAAAAAUGCUAUGAUUCUUCUUCUACAUCCCUUCAUCUUGUAGUUGUACUAUAAUCCCUGAUAGGUUCAAAAUAGUAGGUCCCUCUCAAGGACCUCUAAGCUUAUGGAGGUAGAACAAAAUGAUGAAGAUUCAGAGUUUAUACAGCUAGUUAGGGAUCAAGAGCAACCAAAGGACCACAUUAUUGAAGACACUACAGAAGUGAACCCUAGACACUCAAAAUAUCCUAGUUGAUAAAGAUAUAAAUUAACUCCUCAACUAAGCAAGGAUUUGAUCACAUUCUUGCAUGCAAAAGAUGUCUGUGCCUAGUCUUAUUCUCAUAUGCAGGCCUUGAUCUAGAGAUCGCAAUACAUCACCUCCUAAUCGAACCAAGUCCUAGGCCAGUUCGAGGAAACUAAAAAAGCUACAACAAGAAUUGGCUUUAAAGAUGGAAGUAAUGAUUUGCACGUUGGAUUUCUAUAGGUUAUUAAUUACCUUGACUAGAUGAUGAAUGUUGUCCUAGUCAUCAAGAAGAAUAAAUCUAUUAUGACCUACUGAUUUUCAUGAUCUGAACAAGCUAGCCCAAAGGAUGAGUUUCUCUUAGCUAUCAUUGACUUGCUUGUGAACAGCACUACAACAUUCAUCAAAGAACAGACCUAAGUUGGGUUCUAAAGGUAUUAAAUCCAUUUUCCUUAGAUAUUCUAGAAAUAGUAAAACUUAUAGAUUUUUGAGUAUCAAUUCUGUACUAGAAACUAUGCAUGCUGAAUUCUUUGAAAGUCUAACUAAAAAAGAUGCUAGUUCUUUGGAACUAGAAAAUGAUGCAGCCAAUGAAAUAGAAGAAUCUCAAGAUAUUGUAGAACAAAUUCAGGUUGAAAAUAACAAAUAUAAUAGAAUUGACCAAGAAUAGUCAAAUUUAGAAUCUCAUAAUGAACCUUAGUUAAGAAGUAAUAAAAGAAAAGGGAUUAAAAAGACCUAGGGCCAGAUAUACUGAAUUUUCUAAUAAAUGAAAUCCUAAAAUAUAUUCUGAACCUAAGUCAUCACACGAUGCUAGCUUAUGGCCAUGAAUGAUGAGAUAAAAUCUAUGACAUGAAAUAAUAUUUGGACAUUAGUGGAUUUAUCACCCAGUACUAUGUUUUUCGGUUGCAAGUGGAUUUUAAAGAAGUAUGAAGUCAAUAGUUGGGUAGAUAAAUAUAGAGCAAGAUUGGAUGUCAACACUUAUAAGUAAAGGAAGACUUAGAUUAUUUUGAAAGGUUUUCUUCUCAUUUCUAGAAUGAGUUUUAUUAAACUAUUACUUGCUCUUAUUUCAAUUUAUUGAUUUGAAGUAUACCAAGUGGAUGUUAAAAAAAUUUUCUUGAUGGAAUACUAAACUUAGAAAUUUAUGUUCAUCUACUGUGGAGGGUAAAGCUGGUCAAAGGUCGGGCCAUGACACUAUACUAUAUUCACUUUUAGUCAGGGUUAAGGCUGGGCCUACUUAAAAUUUGACAUUUUAUAUACCCAACACUAGCCCAGAAUCAGCUCUAUGUGAGGGGUACUUUGAGGAGGGCCUAGAAUAUGAAGUGUAGAAAUUGAAUGUGUCUUUUUAUGGUCUUAAACAAUCUCCUAGGCAAUAGUAAAAGAAAAUUUUGUUUUAAAAGUAAUAAAGCAAAAAAGUAUGAUUUUAGUGAAGUUAGUAAUACUUAUAAAGUUCUUAUGGCUAUUUAUGUUGAAGUUUUGCUUAUUGUUGGUACUAAUAUGAAAUUAAAGAUUUAGCUCCUAUGUUGACAUGAUAUUAAGAAUAAAGAUGAUUAAGAAAAAUUGUAUAUGCACUCUCACUCCAUCAUGUUAUAUUGAAAAG
rnacentral:lncRNA from 1 species